rnacentral:rRNA from 1 species
GUGCCAGCCGCCGCGGUAAUACCGGCAGCCCGAGUGAUGGCCGAUCUUAUUGGGCCUAAAGCGUCCGUAGCUGGCCGUGCAAGUCCAUCGGAAAAUCCACCCGCCCAACGGGUGGGCGCCCGGUGGAAACUGCGUGGCUUGGGACCGGAAGGCGCGACGGGUACGUCCGGGGUAGGAGUGAAAUCCCGUAAUCCUGGACGGACCGCCGAUGGCGAAAGCACUUCGAGAAAACGGAUCCGACAGUGAGGGACGAAAGCCAGGGUCUCCAACCGGAUUAGAAACUCCUGUAGUCC